rnacentral:ncRNA from 1 species
UCUAUGCAACUGGCGGAUAAGUGGGACUACCCACAGGGAGCAUAGAUAAUAUUUGUUAGUCGACCGCCUGGGCAACC